rnacentral:rRNA from 1 species
GAUGAACGCUAGCGGCAGGCCUAACACAUGCAAGUCGAGGGGUAGACAUCUUCGGAUGUUGAGACCGGCGCACGGGUGCGUAACGCGUAUGCAAUCUACCUUAUACUAAGGGAUAGCCCAGAGAAAUUUGGAUUAAUACCUUAUGGUUAAUAAAGCCGGCAUCGGUUUAAUUAUAAAGAUUUAUUGGUAUAAGAUGAGCAUGCGUCCCAUUAGUUAGUUGGUAAGGUAACGGCUUACCAAGACGAUGAUGGGUAGGGGUCCUGAGAGGGAGAUCCCCCACACUGGUACUGAGACACGGACCAGACUCCUACGGGAGGCAGCAGUGAGGAAUAUUGGUCAAUGGACGGAAGUCUGAACCAGCCAUGCCGCGUGCAGGAUGAAGCAUCUAUGGUGUGUAAACUGCUUUUGUACGGGAAGAAAAAAAGCUACGUGUAGUUUACUGACGGUACCGUAAGAAUAAGGAUCGGCUAACUCCGUGCCAGCAGCCGCGGUAA